rnacentral:tRNA from 1 species
GCGUCCGUAGCUUAAUUGGAUAGAGCGCCGCCCUGACGAAGCGGCAGGUGAGGGUUCGAGUCCCUCCGGGCGCG